GAAAUGGAGUCACGGAGCCGCGGAAUAGUCCGAGCGGGCAGGAACCCGCCGGGAGCAGCGAGUCCCGCUCCUCCCGGGCCUGCACAGCAGUCACACCCUGUGCCAAAAGUCGCACCUUGUGCCUGAAGUGUUGUCCCAAUACUUCUUGAAGUCAGGCUUGGUGCUGCUGUGACCACUGCCCUGCCGAGCCUGUUUCAGUGCCCAGCCACUCUGGGUGAAAAACCUCGUGAUAUCCAACCUAAACCUCUCCAGGCUCAGCUUCAGGCCGUUCUCUCGGGUCCUGUCACUUGUCGCCAGAGAGCAGAGAUCAGUAUCUGCCCCUCCGCUUCCCCUCAUGAGGAAGCUGUAGAUUGCUAUGGGGUGUCCCCCGCGCCUCCUCCCGGCGUGGGGGAGACACGCGGUCCCCCGGCACUCCCCGAGGAAAAGAACACGAACUUUGUUGCUCCGAGCGCUCCCAGCGCGUUUGUGCCAUUAAAACGCUUCUGAGGGCCCGGGGAGCCUAUUGUGCGGCAGUGCCACAACCCUGGCAGGAGCGCGGGGUGCCCGGCUCCCUCAGCCGCCCAGGGCACGGAGCAGGGCUGCGGCUUCCCUUCCUUGGCGGGGAGUCCCCGUAGUAGGAAAAACGGGGGAAUUGAGGCCACCGUGCGGGAUUAAAGCGCUGCUGAGCCGCGGCCGCCGCGAGUGCGGAGAGCAGGCAAGUCUCUGUCCAAGAGCCCAGAAUGCCUCAAGUUCCAGAAGGUUCAAAGCCACGCAUCGGUGCAAGCUGGUUCACGACUUCCAUUGAAACAGGAAAGAUUUCAUCUCCGGGAGGGGCCACACAAGCAAUGUGCUUAUGUUCUGGAGCAUUUCUGUUUUCCUCAGCCUUAUACCCAAACACAUGUUCUGGGUUGAAUUUAAUAUUCAGGCUUUUCAAUAUCCUGGCCUUGUCAAGAAGGUUGCAGGAGGAUAUGUUCAUCUCACAUUUGCCUUGCUGCAGCUAAGUUUAAAUUACUGGGUAUUGCAGAGGGCAAAUGAAACCCUUAAUAUUAUUUUAAUGUAAUUUUGUGCAGAAUUUAUUAAAACAAUGCUAAGAAAAUGAAAAAUAAUUUUGAUGAAAUGGAGAAGGUGUUGUUUUUCAAUUCUUGCAUGGAAGAUCUCUGGAGUGAGAGCUAUACCCCUAUAAGGGAAUUGGGAAGUUUUUUGGCAACGUGCCUAAAAGCCACUUCAGACCUGUUCAUGAGUUUGGAUGGCAAGCCAACAUCCAUUUUAAUUCACAGAAGUGCUUAGAAAAACAACAGAAUUUAUUGGGCAAUAUCCAGGAGAGGUUAAAUUCACAUUGAGUCUGUACUGAAGUAGUAACAGCUGCUGUGAGGAUUAACCUUUUUGGCUGGUG